UACGGAGGGUGCAAACGUUGCUCGGAAUCAUUGGGCGUAAAGCGCACGUAGGCGGCCCAGCAAGUCGGGUGUGAAAGCCCUCGGCUUAACCGAGGAAGUGCAUUCGAAACUACUGAGCUUGAAUACUGGAGAGGAUCGCGGAAUUCCCGGUGUAGAGGUGAAAUUCGUAGAUAUUCGGAAGAACACCAGUGGCGAAGGCGACUGACUGGACAAGUAUUGACGCUGAGGUACGAAAGCGUGGGGAGCAAACAGG
rnacentral:rRNA from 1 species